UGGGGGAUAUUGCACAAUGGGCGAAAGCCUGAUGCAGCGACGCCGCGUGGGGGUGAAGGCCUUCGGGUUGUAAACCUCUUUUGCUCUGAAACAGGCCCACCAUGGGGGGUGGUGAGGGUAGGGGUUGAUUAGCGCCGGCUAACUACGUUCCAGCAGCCGCGGUAAUACGUAGGGCGCGAGCGUUGUCCGGAAUUAUUGGGCGUAAAGGGCUUGUAGGUGGCUGGUUGCGUCUGUCGUGAAAGCUCAUGGCUUAACUGUGGGUUUGCGGUGGGUACGGGCUGGCUUGAGUGCAGUAGGGGAGGCUGGAAUUCCUGGUGUAGCGGUGGAAUGCGCAGAUAUCAGGAGGAAUACCGGUGGCGAAGGCGGGUCUCUGGGCUGUUACUGACACUGAGGAGCGAAAGCAUGGGGAGCGAACAGG
rnacentral:rRNA from 1 species